AGAGGCCUUUGUGUAGCCAGAGUUGACUUGUCGGCCAACUAGUAAGCAUAGGAACAUGAUACAUAGCAUGGCAUGAGUAGGUGGUCAUAAUGAUGCCAAAACAAGCUUAACAAGCUAGUCAUCCUUGGCUGCACUACAAGACCU
rnacentral:pre_miRNA from 1 species